rnacentral:tRNA from 1 species
GGUGCCAUGGUCUAGUGGUAUGACGCUACAUUGUGGUGAGCUACGUUGUGGAAACACAACUGCGCACAGCAAAUCUGUAUCAGCCCCAGUUCGAUUCCGGGUGGCGCCA